AUAACGACUCUCGGCAACGGAUAUCUCGGCUCACGCAUCGAUGAAGAACGUAGCAAAAUGCGAUACUUGGUGUGAAUUGCAGAAUCCCGUGAACCAUCGAGUUUUUGAACGCAAGUUGCGCCCGAAGCCUUCCGGUUGAGGGCACGUCUGCCUGGGCGUCACGC
rnacentral:rRNA from 1 species